GAUGAAGAACGUAGUGAAAUGCGAUACUUGGUGUGAAUUGCAGAAUCCCGUGAACCAUCGAGUCUUUGAACGCAAGUUGCGCCCGAAGCCAUUAGGCCGAGGGCACGCCUGCCUGGGCGUCACACGUCGUUGCCCCCCCAUCUACUCCUUCGGGAUUGCGGGGGGCGGAUGAUGGCCUCCCGUGCGCCUCGUCGCGCGGUUGGCAUAAAUGCCAAGUCCUCGGCGACACACGCCACGACAAUCGGUGGUUGCGAAACCUCGGUUGCCCGUCGUGUGCGGUCGUCGCGCAUCGAGGGCUCGAAAAAAUUGCCGGGCUCCGGCUCGGCUUUCAACGCGACCCCAGGUCAGGCGGGGUUACCCGCUGAAUUUAAGCAUAUCAAUAAGCGGAGGA
rnacentral:misc_RNA from 1 species